GCCUCGUUAGCAUAGCGGUUAAAUGCAAUCGCCUGUCGAGCGAGAGAUCACGGGUUCGAAUCCCGUACGAGGCGCGUA
rnacentral:tRNA from 1 species